rnacentral:lncRNA from 1 species
AUAACAUAAGGAGUAUUGGAUAUGAAGAACUUGGAAAAACAUGGGAAGGCUUUUAUGAAAUGAAGUAGAAUAAAGAAGGAGCUGUCAAAAGAAUACAUACAAUGACUUCAAAAUGUUAAUGAAGUCAAUAUGGAGAAGCACAAAAAUCUCUACAAAUAUUAUGUUCAAAGUUAGCUCCAUAAUAUCAAAGCUAAUAGCUGCAUCUCUUCUUUCUUGUAACUACUGAUAAGUUAUUUUUCAAGGAAUGUGUUAUAAUGUAUCUAUUUGGAUGUUUGCUGUAGUUAUCUGUUGUGACAAAAUAUAUAUAUAUAUACAUAUAUAUAUAUAUAUCAAUCUGCUUAAAGAUUAAAAGGAGUUGGAAAGAUAUGGAGUGAUAAAAGCCAUUAUUUAUUUAUAUUUCACAGUCUCAACUUUCCAUGCAGUUUAAUUUGCCAUUAAAAAAAAGAAGUCCCACUGGAAGUUUUCACACAUCCUUCUUCCCAUUAUAUAAUGGAUCAGUAAAAACUUAUCCUUUUCAAAGAAAAAUCCAGUAAGCCACCUGAUUGAAACCAUUAAAAAUGUGAAUUAUGCAUGUGAAAUAGGCUCAUUCCUUUCAGUGAAUUUCUCAUCAUUUGGAUUCACCUGGUGUUUGAGACUAUGGAGCUUUGAAGAAAAUCCAGUGCAGAGUGAAAUUUCGGAGGGCAGAGCAAACCAGGCGAAACCAAAUGAUGAGAGCUGUCAUUGCAUCUGCUGCGGGAUGAAAUUGGCAAG